GACGAACGCUGGCGGCGUGCUUAACACAUGCAAGUCGAACGGAUCUGCCCUGUUUUUUGCGGGGUGGGUCAGUGGCGAACGGGUUAGUAACACGUGAGUAACCUUCCCCUCACUUCUGGAUAACCUCUGGAAAGGGUGGCUAAUACGGGGUGUUCUUGCUGUACCGCAUGGUUUGGCUGGGAAAGAUUCACUUUUGUGCUGUUUUAGAUGGAUAUGGGCUGCCGUCCUAUCAGCUUGUUGUUGGGGUGAUGGCCUGCCAAGGCUUUGACGGGUAGCCGGCAUGGGAGGGUGGGCGGCACUAGUGGGACUGCGCGGUCGACACGACUCCGGCGGGCGGCAGCAGGGGGUGGUACUGAACAAGGGGAGGCAUGCUGAUGCAGCGCCGUCGCGUGAGUGAUGGAGUCCUGCGGGUUGUGAUCCUCUUUCGCCGGUGAAGAAGGUCCUGCGUUUUGUGGUGGGGUUGAAGGUAGCCGGGUUAUGAAGCGACGGCUAACUACGUG
rnacentral:rRNA from 1 species